UAUUUUCUUUACCUGCUACAUUUAUUGUUUCUUUCUGGCUCUGUGGCAUGAUCAUGGUGAUCAAUGCUUUGUGUUUGUGUAGUACCUGUAGCCCCCCCAACAAGAAAACAACAAAAUUAAUAAAGAGUUGUUUACACAAAAAAACAUUAAUAAAAAAAUACACUUUCAUAUGCAUGAUUAUGCAUGCAUAAGUAACACAGAAUUGUAACAAAACACACACACACACUAACGUUAGUGCUUAGUUUUGGGGUAGAUCUGUCCCAGAGUUACCUGAGAGGCAGACAGCAUAGCGUUCUGCCACGGACAUUUCAUUCCACCUAGCUGUUGUCAGAGAAGCAGCACCUGAGCCGGGUUGGGCUGCUUGGUGCCGUGGCGUGGGCUCCGUGGCAGUGGCAUGAUCAACAUCUCAACCACAGACUGUGUCCUGUCCUGGCAGAGCCAGCAGUCAGCUCCAGACCUGCAGCAAUGUGUGCUUUGGCAACCAGUCAACCAGCCCUCUCACGCUCCACACACGCUCCCUCCUCCUUCUCCCUCUCAAGCUCUACAUCCUCCCUCAACCCCCAUCACAGUACCCUCACGAUAUACAUGCUGACACCCUCACUAUAGCAGAAUGACAUGGCUAUGAUGCAUCCCCUAAGGUUGUCAGUGUGAGUUUAUCUGAACUGUGAGUCAGGCAUUCUAACCGUCAAUGUAGCUGGUUUGCAUACGUUGGGGGGAGUUUAUACUCGCUUGCUCGCACGCACGCACGCACGCACGCACACACACACACACACACACACACACUCACACACAAACACACACACACACACACACACACACACACACACACACACACACACACACACACACACACACAUACUCUCACUCACACUUUUUAAGUAGUUUUGCCAGGAUCCUCCCCUGUGCAAGCCGUCUUACAUGCAUGUUCUUGUUUUGGAAAGAUAAAGCCCACAUCUGACCCUCUUUCUCUUCACACUGCUGUCCAUCUGAUAGGAGAGCAGGGCUGUUUUCCUAUGAGCUAAACCAGCCGUCUGAUGGGGAAGUGAGAGCCACAGAGCGAGACGCUUUACAUUCCAAUAGCGAGCAACUGCUAUCAACACACCCGCUAGGGCUAAAUAUGAUAUCAGCUCUAUUUGGAGGAGAAGGACCUCACAAUAACCAUUAUAUAAUACAGAUGAAAUCCUGACAGUCCUGGCAGUGAGUCAGGUCACUUUGUGUAAAUUAUCUCUCUGUGUUGAUGUUGGAGUGCAUGUGGACACAUCCCACUCUCCGAAAUAGAUCGGACCAAAAUACAACUGGCCUGCGCUGUUGACUUAAAUUACAGAUCCUACAGACUUCAGAGGGCGUUAUGGGCAAAAUCAUCCCAAUGUUAAAGUCGGUUUAUUCAUACAUGGGCAUAAACUCCAGUUCAGUUUUGUCUGGCAAGCUUGAACCAAAGAGAUUUCUUCUGGAAGAAGUUUUAAGAAUAUUUAAUGGCGAAUGGAGAUUUUUGCCUGUAGACACACUUGCACAUAAAGACACACACACACACACACACACACACACACACACACACCACACACACACACAAUGUACUUAUGUGCUUUCCCCCAAAGAGGGAGGGGGUUCUUAAAUUGAGUUAUGUAAGGUUAAAUGAAGUGCUUUGCUUUUGUUUCAUGGUUUGAUGGAAAACCCAGUCAGAGUCUAGCUGUCUGGACAAUCUUAUCUAGCAAGAAAACAGGCAGCUCACUUAACCCUCGAAAAAUUGUUCAAUCUGCAUUAAGAAAAACAACAGAAUGGCUUGGACUGGUCUUCUCCAGAUCACUGCAAUGUACUGUUUUUAGCCAAUUAUCUUGUUCUGUACAUUGGGUUUACUGGGUUUAUAUUGGUUUGCUCUCUCCUCUGAGCUCACAGGAAGUCAAUUCACAGGGUUAAUCUGUUGGUCAGUAGUUGUCUUCCUAUUAGGGAGGAAACCCUGAACUGCGGGACAGUAGUAGAAAAGUAUUCAAUUGAUAUGGAGGCUUUGUUGGGCUGAACUCUGACCUCUAGGCUAGUAGUCUACAUACGGUGCAUUUGGGAAGUAUUCAGACCCCUUGACUUUUUCAAAAUUUUGUUACGUUACAGCUUUAUUCUAAAAUGUAUAUCAAUUAAAACAAAUCUCAACAAUCUAAACACAAUACCCCAUAAUGACGAAGAAAAAACUUUUUGUUGUUGUUGUUUUUUAACUGGUGAUGAGGGAGAAAAAAUAAUUUAAUCUGCUUUAGUCCAAAGGUUGUUAAAUAACAAAAUGUGGAAAAAGUCAAGGGAUCUGAAUACUUUCCAAAUGCACUGUAUAUAACUGUUCCAUUGGGAGAAGAAAAAGCCAGAUGAUCUUAUGUAAUUGUACUGUUUGGCAGUAGACCUGAUGCUGUCGUCUGCAGUAUGUAGCAGUAUUCAUCCCAGGUGUUUGUCUCUCUGAGUAGAGCGUGGCUGUCUUCCUCAUUUGGUUUCAUGUUUGCCUUUAUAUGUAUUUUCUGUCUUCUCAUUAACCAAUGGCAACCACAUUCCAUAGGGCGGCAGGUAGCCUAGCGCUUAAGAGCGUUGGGCCAGUAACUGAAAGAUUACUGGUUCGCAUCCCCAAGCCAACUAGGUGAAAAAUCUGUUGAGCAAGGUACUUAACCCUAAUUGUUCCUGUAAGUCAGUCUGGAUACGAGCGUCUGCUAAAUGACGAAAAUUUUCAUGUAAAAUUCCUUAGCAGGGGGAGAGACACAGGUGUCAACGUUACCUACCCCUGCCCACCACAGGGGGCUCCUGAGUCACAGGGGGAGCAACAGGGGGCUCCUGAGUCCCGCAGUAGUCUAAGGCACUGCAUCUCAGUGCUAGAGUCAUCACUACAGACCCUGGUUCGAUUCCAGGCUGUAUCACAACCAGCCGUGAUUGGGAGUCCCAUAGGGCAACCCACAAUUGGCCCAGCGUCGUCCGGGUUAGGGCCUGGCUGGCCUAGGCCGUCAUUGUAAAUAAGAAUUUGUUCUUAACUGACUUGCCUCAUUAAAUAAAGGUUAAGUAAAAAUAAAUAAACAUGAGGUUCUCUGUGGUAAAUAAAAGGCCUCUUGUAGUCCUUCUCUUGGCUUUACUGUGGUAAUCUAGUUCAUUCAUUAGAAACUAGAAAAUGUGUUCUCUUUCUGUCUGUCUCUGAGAGAGAUGCUUGAUGACUAGAAUUCUGAAUGAGAGUGUAAACUCUCUCUCCCUCUCCCUCCCUCCCUAUGGUGUGGUAUUCCUGAGGAGCUGACUAUGGAGAGGGCCCAUACAGCAGUGGAGGGGGUGUUUGAGACCCUCAAAGAGUUGAGCCAUGCCCGAGACCACCUCAAAUAGUUCACCUCCGUCUACACAGCCAGCGAUGGAGUACAUCAGGCGACGUGCCAUCCAUUCCUCAGACAGGUUCUGGAGGAGAUCUUCCAUCCAGACAGACCUGAGUGUCCCGACGUAGAACACAUGUCUGGAGGCCUCACCGACCUGCUCAAGACUGGCUUCAGUGAACCGGCCACACCCCAGCGACCACGGCCUGUUCUUUCUCUUCCUGGUGGGAGGAGUCACUCCUUCUGAGCUGCGCCUGAUCCGCAAGGUAGUCUCCACCCACAAGCCGGGUACACAGAGUCUGAAGGGACAUAUCAAAAGAGGAACCUGAGCAGAAAAUGCAGCGAGAAGCAGGGAGGGGGCGACCACAAAAAUCUGGGUGCUGAGUUGACGAUGUUCCUUCAUCUGCCCUGGAAGAAAGUCAAGAGUAGCUAGGUGCUGGUCCUCUCUACCAGACUGUUGAGACCUACAGACAUCCCCGAGCUGCUCUUCACCACCCAAAGACUGGUGCCAGACAUUGGUGUGUGAGCACGGAACAAGGACCACACACACACAGACGCACGCAAGCACACACACACACACACCUACCACUCUUAGGGUGUGGAGAGGAGAAAUGAGAGGCUCCAGUGAGAUUGUGUGGUUUGGUAAUGGACUGGAGUCAUGGGUGUAGUGAGCAGAGGUGGAGGUUUAUGAAUUUGUCUAGAGGAAAAAACAGAGGAUCUACUUAGGCCUUUUUCAAAGGCAUUCCCAAAUGUUUACUUCAGUUGUGUUACGUUAGAGUCCUCUCCCUUCCCUUGUACUACCCAAAUCACAUUGUAAGGCAACACUUAGGUACUUAUGGAUUCUCUCAUUCCAAAUUGUACAGAAUGUAAACGUGAUCCAAUCUGGUGUAAUCUGAUCUUGAAGCUCAACUCCAAACAGACAGAUGACAUUCAAAUCAAGUUACUUCAAUACGUGUUUUGUUGUUUACAUUCAAUCUGUAUACGUUGAAUAAAUCUUGUAUAUUUGUGAAACUCA